rnacentral:rRNA from 1 species
UAGGGAAUCUUCCGCAAUGGACGAAAGUCUGACGGAGCAACGCCGCGUGAGUGAAGAAGGAUUUCGGUUCGUAAAACUCUGUUGUUAGGGAAGAAAAAAUGUAUAGUAACUAUAUACAAAUGCGACGGUACCUAACCAGAAAGCCACGGCUAACUACGUGCCAGCAGCCGCGGUAAUACGUAGGUGGCAAGCGUUUUCCGGAAUUAGUGGGCGUAAAGCGCGCGCAGGUGGUUGAGAAAGUCUGAUGUGAAAGCCCACGGCUCAACCGUGGAGGGUCAUUGGAAACUAAUAAACUGGAGUGCAGGGGAGAAAAGUGGAAGUCCUAGUGUAGCGGUGAGAUGCGUAGAGAUUAGGAGGUACACCGGUGGCGAAGGCGGCUUUUUGGCCUGAAACUGACACUGAAGCGCGAAAGCGUGGGGAGCACUCAGG